ACUUUUAAUGGACAACAGUGAUCCGA
rnacentral:tRNA from 1 species